CUCAAGUUGAAUACUUUUUAAGCAUUUUACAUCUUCACUUGAACAGAAUUCCAUGGUGACCAUGAAGCUACUAGUCCUAGUGAUGUGCCUGAUUGGACUUUGUUCCUCCAUUCCUGUUUCUGAGAAACAUGAUCGAGAGGAGCGCUCAGCUAGCGAUGAGAAUUUCAGGGGUUAUGGGCGUGGUUUGGGAGCGUUUUACCCCUAUCAGCAGCCUCAGUACCCAUCCUACUUCCCUUAUGCGCAGCCUUCUCAAGGUAACUCUGCCCUGAUGGCCCUCCUGCCCUUCCUAUUGGCCAGCCUCGCCUCUGCUCCUGCCGCAGCUCCUGCUGCAGCUCCGCUAGCCCCAGCCCCAGCAGCGGGUGGAAAAUGAGAUGGGUGUCGAUAGAGAAAGGAGAAAAAA
rnacentral:lncRNA from 1 species